AGUUCAGUCGUGUGCUCUUCCUAUCCGCGAUUGAUGAAACUUCGCUAAAGAUGUCUUAAGGAACAACCAACUCUGUUUAUAAAUCCAGAAACUCCUGGAUAUGUUGGAUUUGCAAAUCUUCCCAAAUCAAGUUCAUUGAAAAUCAGUGAAAAAAGGUUUUGAAUUCACACUAGUGGUGGUCGGUGAAUUGGGUCUUGAGAAAUCGAUGCUCAUAAGCCUCAUUUUGCUGACUGACCUCUACCCAGAAAGAAUCUUACCUGAAGCCACAUAGAAAAUUUCAAGAACUGUCCAAAUUGAGGCUUUGACUGUUGAAACUGAAGAGGAUCAGUGAAAAAAGGUUUUGAAUUCACACUAGUGGUGGUCGGAGAAUUGGGUCUUGAGAAAUCGAUGCUCAUAAGCCUCAUUUUGCUGACUGACCUCUACCCAGAAAGAGUCUUACCUGGAGCCACAGAGAAAAUUUCAAGAACUGUCCAAAUUGAGGCUUUGACUGUUGAAACUGAAGAGUGAGGGGUCACGCUGCGUCUGACCGUGGUGGACAAACCAGGCCUCAGGGACGCCGUCAACGGCAGGGACUGCUUUAAAACAGUCAUCUCCCACAUCGAUGGCAGUUUGAACAGCACCUGCAGGAUGAGAGUGGUCUGAACAGAGGUGCAUCGUCGGUAACAGGGUUCACUGCUGCUUUUACUUCAUUUCCCCCUUCAGACACAGACUUCCACCAUUGGAUGUUGCGUUUGUGAAGGUGAUACACAGCAAGGUGAAUACUGCGCCUGUCAUUGAGAAAGGCUACACGCUCACACUGAAGGAGCGGGAGCACCUGAAGAAAAGGAUUCUGGAUGAAAUUGAGGAACAUGACAUCAGAAUCUACCACUUUCCUGAUGCAGAGUCCGGUGAAAAUGAAGAUUUUAAAGAGCAGACUAGACUUCUCAAGGCCAGCAUCCCUUUCUCUGUGGUUGGAUCCAGUCAGCUGGUUGAAGCCAAAGGCAAGGAGGUCAGAGGCCACCUCUACCCUUGGGGCGUCCUGGAGGUGGAGAACCCGGAGUACAAGGACUUAUUAAAGCUGAGGACGAUGCUCCUCACUCACAUGCAGGAUCUCCAAGAGGUGACCCAGGACCUUCACUAUGAGAAUUUCUGAUCAGAGAGGCUCAAGAGAGGUGGCAGAAAAGUGGAAGAUGAGGACAUGAAUAAAGACCAGAUUUUGCUGGAAAAGGAAGCUGAGCUCCACCACAUGCGAGAGAUGAUCACUGCAUGUGAUCAAGUGCAGCUACAGCUGCAGGGCAGCGAUGGUGAUGGCAAGGUCCAUGGGCACCAUGUGUGAGGAAGCACUUUGCAAGAUAAACAUUCCCGUGAGUAACACAGCUGCGUGUUUGCAAGACUGUUGGAGGGGUGCCCUGUCCACAUUUCACAGUGCCUGUGCCUGAGAAUUUAAUUUUUUUUUAACUUUUGAUGUGUUAUUUUGUAUGAAGUACCUUAACAUUUACAUUUCAUUGUGAUGUUAUACUUUAUAUUUUGUGAGGUAAACUGUCCAUUUUCCUUCUUCUUCCACUUUAAGUAACCACUAACACUAGAAUUGGUUCCCAGGGACCAGUCAGCACGUAUAGUUAGUAGCUGGAUUUGGUUUGACUGGCCUAACCGACUAAUCAUGAUUUACUUCCAGAACAUUCAGAUUUCUGAGAAUGUUCCUGAGCAGUAGAGACAUGAACACAGAAGGAUGAGCUGUCUGGGUAUGAGUCCAUUUCUCACCAAACCAUGGCACCUGCUUCCCUGCCUUACUUUUGUUUGAGCACAACAUCCAAAACCGGUUUUGCUGCUAUAAUUCCAUACUGUUAAUUUAUCUGCACAUUAUCUGUUUACCAAACAAAAAGAAAUCUAAUUAGAUACAUGUUUAUACUUCAAUAGCUUUUUUACAAACAGGCUGUUAGGGGUGAGGGAGAAGGAAGGGAGAUGGUGAUGUGGAGAAGCGCUGAGCUCCAGGGCUGAGGACACCCAGGAAGGAAGGGAGAUGGUGACGUGGAGAAGCGCUGAGCUCCAGGGCUGAGGACACCCAGGAAGGAAGGGAGAUGGUGACGUGGAGAAGCGCUGAGCUCCAGGGCUGAGGACACCCAGGAAGGAAGGGAGAUGGUGACAGCUGGCCAGGUGCACUGCAGAAGACCAUCUGGUGUUCUCCCGACCGCCCUUGCACUGUUGACUGAUUUUGAGUGCUCAAGAGCUAUAGGUUUAGGUGCAUUGUACAGUUUUCUCCAAGAAGUGUUCCAUGACCUUAGGGUACCUCCAUGCAGGGCCAGUUAUUUGGGUUAUUUUGGCAUUUAUCAACUAUGCUAGUAAAAGCUGUUUUUUUAAAGAGGGGGCGGGGUGGCAGUACUGGAAAGCGGUAGACAUAGUAAGCCCAAUGCAGUCUACUUAGGGCCAGCUGCCACCUAAUGGAUGCAUGGGUGUGGGUGGGCCUACAUUUUCAAAUCCCCUUUUGUUUUGCUGACCCAAUCUAAAUACCUUUGCUCAUAGAUAAUCGCUUUUUUACUAAGAGAUAAAAACUUUACCUAUAAAAGUGUAUUUUGAAAACUUAUUUUACACAGCAAUUUUGUGUCCAUUGAAACUAACCUUUUACCAAUAAAGCACUAUUGUUUAGAUAUUAAAAAAAAAAAAGAUUACAGCAGAGAAGAGAUUUUCUAAAAAGCAUGUAAAGUUGCUGUAGUGCUAUGAUGGGAACAAGCACCCACAGGGGCGGAGCUGUAAUGACCUGUACACUGAUUCAGUUAAUGCUAAGGAGACAAGCGCAUAUUAGUUCUUUGAUGGAAAUAGCUAACAAGAGGGCAGGUGAUAACUUCCCUACAAACAUCCACUGUGGUAACCUUAAAUUGAUGUCCUUGUUUUAUUGUUGAUCUCUACCCACUACCACUCACAUCACUGCUCAUUAGCUGUCUUCUCACCCAGAAUAAGUCAGCUUUGAGAAGAUGUGAACGUUAGGAAAUUAAUCAAAAGAUAUCCUUAGAGCCUGGGCUCAGUGAAUCAGUCAGAGUAAGACAAAUCAUUGCUCAAAUGCUGCUUUGCAUACUGUUCACUAAUAAAAAUAAAUGCUAUAAAUUAAUUAUUUAUCAUGUACCACAGGGUACUGUGUACGUUAGGCCAGGCAAAAUGUUGUUUCCACUUUCUUUGGAUUUUUUAAUUGUGCUAAUCAAAUUUCAGGUUCUCUGGUUCUAAAUGGAAGAUUCAUCUUUUUUGUCUCUUUGCAGUCCAAAUAAAGACUAGAGUCAUUUCCCAAAACAUUAAAAAAAAAGGUCCCUUAAGGCACUCAAAAAGAAAAAAAAGGAUAAAAAUGACAUGUGAGCAAAUGAGUCUGAAAAACACUAGCUACAUAUAUUUUUUGAGUAUCAAAUUUCAUAUCAAGUAGAGCAGUGGCUCAGAGAAAUCUUGCACCAAAGAACUUUUUCUUAUUUCAGCUUACACUUUUACUUUUCAACUUAUUCAACUCACUUUUGCUUAUUCAACAUAAGAAUUAUACAUAAAUAGCUAACAUUUAUUGACCAGGACUCUUGUCCAGGAUAUUAUUUUAUUGCCUAUCCCAAUUUUAUUUCACUGUAACACAUAUUAACUGUCUGAUAAACCAUCAAAUGAUCACCCAUUUAAGGGAAACAAAAUGUUGUACACCAUGUAUGACUUGUGAACCUCAUGGUCUGAAUCAGCACUACCCAAUAGAUAGACAGUAGAUCCAGUAGAUAGACAGCCACACUACGUGAUUUUUAGUUUUCUAGUUAAAUGGACAAAAAAAAACAAAAGAACUCAGGUAAAAAUAAUUUUAAUAAUAGAUUCUACUAACCUAUGGGGCUUCCUUGAUGACUCAGACAGC